AAAAACGUGUAAAAAAAAACUCCCAAAGCAACAAUUUCCUCCUUUUUUUUGGCUUUUGAUGUAAUUAACGGAUCAUCGCACAGCGAUAAGCAGAAAAUCCCUCCACACAAGACCGACAAUCUUACACACAAAUGCAAUGUCAUGUUUUGAGGAUUGACAGUUGGCACGAACGGCCGUGACGUGCGAAUUUGUUUGCGACCUGACACAACUUUGAAGGGGUUGAUUGACGGGCUCCGAAUCUACAGGGAUUCGAUGAAAUGACUGGCAGGUUUGACUCCGCUUCUCCACAGCGACUUGGCUUUCGGUUGUUGUUGUUGUUGCAACACGAUGGUUUCAGCUUAGAUUCCAACAACAC